GUUCUUUAGAUAGGCAAUGGAUUAUCAUUUGAUUAUCUGACCCAAGUAAAUGAUAGCAAGUAGGGUGUGGGAAAUGGGGUGAACUGACUUCUUUGCUUUCUUGAAAUUUGAUUUUAGGUCUUUUAAAAUAACCAAAAAUAAUCCUGUUAUCACAUGGUACACUCAGAGUGGUAAGCUCUUCUCUCAGAUGUAUGAGCUGGUCUGUGUGUUCAAAUCUAAUUAGAGCCUAUUUGAUACUUUUGACACUAUGCAGAGGUUCUAAAAAUGAAAAUAACAUGGAAGUCCUAGGCUAAUCAUCAGAUCACUUUAUAGUCUUCCUACAGGGCAGAACUGGGAGUGAUGGAGUGAGUCACUCUGUUUUGUUUUGUUUUCAUUUUGUUUAAAUCAUUGUUUGUGUGAUGGGUGGGUCCCAAAGAGUACUCAAAACCUCUCUUGGCAAAUGUGAAUGACUUUGCAGCUGGGCUCUAAAUCAGUUUAUUGUGAGCCAUGAAAUGUCUUGGUGAUGUGGCUUUUCUGCUCUUAUAGAAUUCUCUAGUCUGUUGCAUAAUUUUGUCUCUACUAAGCAGUGAGCAAUUGAAGAAGUGUCCUUAAUAUGGCUGUCUGGAGAAUGGAUUGAGUAUUAUUAUCUCCUUCCUGUUACACAGGGAAACUUAACCGGUGUAAAUGUGGAUUUUGAGGAUGGUAAAGACCUGACAAGUCUGAAUUGAUUAAAGAAGAUAAUUAAGGGGUGUAGAAAUCUGUGCUGCUGAGCUGGAGUUGUGUGCAUGUGUUUGUGUAUGUUGGGGGAACAGAGAAGAUGCCAUCGAUACCCUGUUACAGGCAGAGAUUGCAGUGUGAUAGGUUAAUAAUAAAUAUUAAAUAUCCUAAUAAUAGGUUAGAAAAAAAGAGAAAGAAGUGAGAUAUACCCAUUUGCUGACUAAAAUAGGAUCUAGCAUAUUAUGCUUUUAAUACAGUACAUUUUUUAGGUACACAAGAAUUCCUGACUUGUUCUUUUAAGUAUUUUUCUGCCAGUAUUACUAUCUCCAUUAAAAUACAUAUCCAAGCCUCUAUAGUAUUUCUUUUGUGUAUAGGAUUGAUAAAGUUUCCAUGAACCAAUAUCUCAUAUAAAACCAAGAGUUACCUGUUCAUGUGUUUCAGAAUCAUUCCUGAGUUGCAAGUAGAUUGGCUUUGGAGUCAACUGAAGAACUUCUGAUUAAAAAUGAGGCUUGUUUAUCAGUCAGUUUCCCCCAGUAACUAUAAAGCAACGUGCCUAAAAGCAUGCCAAAAUAUAUGACAGUAAGUUACCAACAUAUAAGGCAGUUAAUAUCAGAAUUUUAGCUAUGAUAUCUCUAUCUGUAUGUCUUCAUCUCUGUGCUUAUUUGUUGUUAGAUAAUCCCUAUAAAUUUUGGGAACAGAUCUAUUGUAACACUUAUGAUUUUUUUUGAAUGUCGUAUCAAGACACAUAAUAUUUUGAGGGCUUCCCUACUAUAUGCUGGGUACCAGAGUAUCUAAAAAGUCACAAAAAUGGGUAAGAAAAUCAACUAUGCCCUAAAAGACCUUAUAAAUGAGAUGUGCUUUUGGUCAGAAUAAGCCAUAUAGGCAAAGGUAAGCCUUUGUUAUGUAGGUUGUCAUUUUUCUUCUUUAAUUUGCCAUCCAGUAAAAUAAAAUUUGCAUAUAUCAGUUACACAAGAGUUAAAAGAAGCAUAUGUGACUUUAUUUCUGAUGUUUACAUAAUAGCCAGAGGAAGAUAACUGUUUAUUAAUACACAUUUCACACAAGAUAAAUGCAUCAUAUAUAUAAAGAAAUAUAUGUCGUGAUUGAAUACUUACCAGUUUACCACUUUAAAAUUAUCAAAAUAGAAAAGAAAGUAGAUUCCUUUGGCAACUCAUCAUCUAAUUCAGUUCAACAUAAUUGAACCCGGUUUUUCAGUUAUCUGAACAUUACAGAUCAUUUAUUCCACUUUUACCAGAUACAGCUAAUAGUGAUUAGAUUUUUAUAUAAAAACAUAUUAUGUUAGAAUAAAAUGGUACUGUUUUGAUUAUCAUGUGUCAUAAUUAAAAUUCCCACAGUAACUUGACAUUCAAUGUACAGGUACUAAGAACGUCUAAAAAUAUUGUCCCAGUUCCUUUGAUUCCUAUGGUGAUGCCUUAUGCUACUUUUAAAUAAUUGCAAAUUAAAAUAAUGAAGCUAUCUUUUUUUGUUGGGACUUUCUAAUUACUUGUGACUCUUCUGAAAGUCUAGGUUGUAAUUCUUUAAGAUGAGAGUCAACUUAUAUGUUGUUACUUUCUGAGACCUCUAGUCAAGCCUGAUAAUAGUAUGGGAUUGUGAGAAAAGUGCUGUUCAUUAAUUCCUUCAUCCAUAUUAACCACAGCUAUCACCGUUAAUAAUUAGAAAGUAUUGGCAAAAGUAUUUUUCAAUGUUGGGAUGUAGUCACAUUAUCCUUUUUUUUCCAGUUGUACUAAUCUGUGAUAAUGUCAUUGCCUCUCAGCUUCCUUAAUCAUUAAGAAAAUUCAGGGCCGGGUGUGGUGGCUCACGCCUGUAAUCCCAGCACUUUGGGAGGCCGAGGAGGGUGGAUCACGAGGUCAGAGGAUCAAGACCAUCCUGGUCAUCAUGGUGAAACCCUGUCUCUACUAAAAAUACAAAAAAUUAGCUGGGCAUGGUGGCGCGUGCCUGUAAUCCCAGCUACUCAGGAGGCUGAGGCAGGAGAAUUGCCUGAACCCCAGGAGGCGGAGGUUGCGGUGAGCCGAGAUUGCGCCAUUGCACUCCAGCUUGGGUAACAAGAGCAAAACUCUGUCUCAAAAAAAGAAAAAAAAAAAAAAAUUUAGUACUACAGAAUUCUAAUUUUCCCAGCUUUUUUGGAUUUGGGUAGACGGAACUGAAGUAAGCUCCAGAAACAUUUUGUUCUUGCUUUAGAAAUCUGAUGUUCAUAACUUUAAUCCAAAACAGACUUUGUUGUGCCUCCCUCCCUUGGUAUAUAUAUUUGUGAGAAAAACCUAGGAAUGGAUUCUGACAGCUUUUCUUUCUAUCACAGAAAACUGUGGAAAAUGCUUUACAGACCACAGACAAAAGCAGCUAAGGGAAGCAUUUUAGAUUAUUGCUUUUGCUUUUUAAUAUUUCUAAAGCCUUAUAUAUUAAUCUUCACAGUUUUAUGUAGGUCUGCUUUUGUCUGCCUGGAUUCUCAGCCUUUCUGUUGUUUGGGGAAUGAAUUUCUUUUUUCCUUCAAAGAAGGAAAUAUGUUAUCAAAUAGUGGCUAGAAUACCCAGGGUGGUAGAGUAGUGUUGAUUUGUGUAUUCCCUUUGCUGUUUUAUUUUCCCUGUGAUGACACACUAGCAUGGAGUGUCCACUAUUCUGCUGUAAUCCUUUCAUGGGUACAUUAUUUCAGCGCUCCUGAAAGCCCAGAGCACACAAUAAGACAUGCACAUAUCAUAUUUUAGUGUAUCAGUAUGUAUCCAAACACUGCCUUUUAGUCUUUAUUUUUCUGAUUUUCUGUUUCAUGAAUAUCUGACCACUACUACAAAGAUGUUUUCUCAGCCUUUGUCCCAAUGACUGUCUUACAGGCUAAGCCUGUUACAGAAUCUCAAAGACUGAGAACUUUUUCUCCUCCAUGUCCUUUCUGAAUGUUGAGCUUUCAAUUUAUCAAUCAUCUUGAAAUGGUUAUGAGGAAUUAUAUUAUUUUAUUAAAAUGUCAAGAUAGCUCUCCCUACUCUAGGCUCUCUUUUUGAUCGAGGUGGAUUCCCUGACCUUGGUUCUAAACAUUUAUUCAUCCUUCAAACCUGAUUUUGGCAGUUGCUCAAUUGAUAAAGUAAAAGAAGAGUGUAGACAUUUAUAAUACCUUAGCACUUUAAACCCAAAACUUGCUGAAGCUAUUACUCAUCUGAAUCUGCCAGCUGACCUCCCCACGGAGGGAUAGAUCAAGUUUGCUGGUGUGCAUCAUAACGAUGAGGUUACAGGAAUGGAGAGAUGAAGGCCUGUGGCCAAGGUCACUCAAGGCCAGGUCCCCUGCUCUUCCAGAACAGCUUUCUUUCCCCUCCCUCAUGGUAUCUUCUAGGUGUUAGAGACAAACUCAGAGAAAAAGCAGGAGGAGCUGAAGGCAACAAAGAGGGUGAAAGUAUAAUGAAAAUCCUGCCCUUUCAUGAAGGAGUUGAAAUAACUCUCCUCUACCUCUAAGCUCUUCUUAUACUGCUAGGUAGUAGUAGACCAGCCAGGGAUCCUUUACCAGUAAUUUAGAGUUCCUGUAUUACUCAUUUGAUUUUGAACUAUCUUAAAACAAUUAGUCUAAAAUAUGUAUUUCCUUUGGAUGCAUCUCUUCUAGUAGGUUUUAAAAUGAAGCCAUUUUGAAGUUGUUCAGCUGCAAUCAAAGUUUGACCAUUUUCUUUAAAAGUGUGAAACAUGCACUUUGUUCUGCUCUAAAAAUUGUUGAGUGAGCUUUUGGGAAUUUUCUUCAGAUAACAUUCAGCUUUAGGGGGAAACCUGACUUAAAAAUGUGGAGAAAAAGCUCGAACUCCAAAGGAAAGACCUAAAGAACAUAUAUAAGUAGUUAGAAGUAAAAGCUUAGGUGAAGAUACCUGGUCUCUGAUCGUUAAUUUACUUGAAUCAAGCCUGCCUUUAUCGAAUCUUAAACAAAUUAUGCCUUUGGUACACUUGGCUCAGAUUCAUGACCUGAUUAAUAAAGAUAUUCCUGAAAGACACCCAGCAUUUUUAUAUUUAACCUCUUUCCUGUUUCCUCAUUACUUUGUUCAUUUUCAGCCACUUGUUCCUUUUUUAAACUCCCUCUCUCACCUUUCAUUCUUUGGCUUUUCUCUUUCCUCAUUAUUGUACUCCUUCUUCAUCUUUUUGUUCUCCUUGCUUCUCUGACACUAGAAGGAAGUUUUCUGAUUACCCGAUUAUGAAUUUGCCCCAGAGACCUGGACUUAGUGCUGGUCAAGGUAUAGGGAAGCAAAUACAUAUGAACACUUUUUGUAUGCAUGUAAAUUGAAAAGAUUUUAAAGAAUUUACACAGUAUAAUCUAUGCAGUAGCUUUUUUUAAAAGAUGAAUUAUGUUAUGUGAAAAGGCCGAUUGUGGAAUAUAUUUAAUAUAAUGCAAGAUUUGUAAUGACAGCUAAUUACAAAUAUAAAAUUAUUAUAUGGACAAUUAUUCACCCCUCUGCAAAAAAGAAAAGAAUUUGGAAGAUUUUCUACCAAGGCUAAGGUGUAAACAGUGAUUGUCAUUGUCACUAGGUAAUAGCAUUAGAAAUAGUAAUUCAAAUGAUACUUCUAAAAAAAGCUAAAAUAAAAUACUUCAAAUUGAGAAUUUUAGCUCUACUGUUUACCAACUUUGUCCAUUUUUCCUUUGGGUUAAUAUUUUUCUUGCUAAUUUAUAGGAGUUCCUUAUUUUCUUUGGAUGUGAGCCUUUUGUAUAUGUAUUACAAAUAUCUUCUUCCACUUCGUAGCUUGCCAUUUAUUCUCCUCAUGGUAUCAUUUGAUGAACUAAAGUUAUAAGUUUUAAUAUAAUGUGUCAAAAAUUUAUUUUUAUGGCUGUAUGUUUAUGUAUAACCAUAUAUUCCAUACACAGUAGGAUAAAAGAAAUCACAUGAAAAAUCUGGAUGAAAGGACAGUACUAGGAUUGGAUGGUGAGAUUAAGAAUUAAAAUAUGAAUCACACAAUUGUGUACCUUUCCUAGUGGUAGGCCACAGAUUUAAUCAAGCAUCUCUCAGCAGCCAAUGGAAGGAGAUAAUCAUGGCCCAUUACAAGAUUCACUGUGUCCUUAAAAAACAAAUAGAUACUCAAAUUAGUUUCUUCAGGUAUUGAUCCCCAAAUGACCUCUCCUGCAGCUUAAAAAGAAGAUGCCAUGGAGGGAAGUAAAUCAGAUUCACAAUAAUAUCCCUCAAGGGAACUAAAUGUCAGGAUUCGUAAAGGCUGGUUCUUUAGCUUCUCUCAGUGACGGUGCCAUAACAUGAAAGCAUCUGAUGAGCUAAUACUGUGUGGUCUAAAUACACAGCUUGAUACAAGAAUAAAACUUAGAAUAGCUCAGAAAGUGGGUUUUGUUUACUUCUAUUUCUAUAAACUGUUUCAGUGAGAAAAGAGACUAUAUAAUUAGAGAGAACUUAAAAUUUUAACCUACCUGUUUCCAGUCUUCAUUUUCACACAAGUAAAAUGAUACAGAUACAAUUAAAGACCAUGUGUAGCCCUCCCUGAUUCAUUUCUCUCCCUCCCCAGAAGCCACUGGCCUCAAGUUGGCAUUUAUCAUUCCUAGGCAUAGUUUUUCACUCUUACUAUGUGUGUAUGUGUCACUGAGCAAUAUUGGAUUCUAAAUAUUAUGCAUUAUUAUACAUUUUAUUAAAAUGGCUUCAUUUUGCAAUUUUUUUUCACUUAGCAUUGUUGUUGAGAUUUUUUUUCAUGUUGCUACUCGUUACUCUAUUUCAUUUAUUUAAACUACCAUAUCCACUCUGUUAACGUUAAUAUGCCCUGCUGUGUUUUAAAUACUCCUUAGCCAGUUGGGUUGUUUGUAACGCACAUUGAUUGCCUCUUCCUAGUCUUGCUUGGUCGUCUCCCCCUUACCCUAACCCCUAAUGGAGUUGUCUUUUUGUUUUUGAUAUAUGCACAAUUUAAAAUUAUUCUGGAAAUACUGUCACACAUAUGGAAAUUGUUAUCUGUCACUUUUUCACUUUGUUUAUUUUACAGAAGGAUUUUGGGGUUUGUUUGUUUUAGAUGGAGUUUUGGUCUUGUCCCCCAGGCUGAAGUACAGUGAUAUUAUCUUGGCUCUGCGAACUCCGCCUCCUGAAUUCAAGUGAUUCUUCUGCCUCAGCCUCCCAAGUAGCUGGGAUUACAGGCGUGUGCCAACCUGCCUGGCUAACUUUUGUAUUUUUAAUAGAGAUGGGGUGUCACCGUGUUGGCCAGGCUGGUCUUGAAUACCUGACCUCAGGUCAUCCACCCACCUCAGCCUCCCAUAGUGCUAGGAUAACAAGUGUGAGCCACUGUGCCCAGCCAAUAGAAGGGUUUUAAUUUAAUGUCAUCAACUCACUCAUUUCUUUUAUUGGUUAUAUUUUUGUAUUUUCUUCAAGAAUUCUUUUUCUUCCCUAAGAAUAUGAAGAUAGAAUCGCUUACUUUCUAGUAGAAGUUAUAAGGUUUUGCUUUUCAUAGGCUUCCUAAAUAUGUAUCAUUGAUUUUAUGCAUGGUAGGAAGUAAGGAUUUAAUAUUUUCGUGCUAUUCUCUUAUCAGUUGCGUCAGUACCAUUUAUUGAAUGGUAAGUGCAUCCAUCUUUUCUUCACUUUUUUCACCUUUAUAAUUGUGAAAUAUGCACACAUAAAGAAGAGUACACAAAAAAUAUACAGCAGUGGUUUAUCACAAAAGCAGACAUCUGUUUAACAACCCUGUUAAGAAAUAGAACUUUGCCAAGACCAUUGAUGCCUGCUCAUGCCCUCUCCUGCCAGGUAGCUACUAUUCACCCAGGUAAUUAUUUUCCUUUUCUUUUUAGUUUUUCCCUCCUUCCUAUUCUUUUCAAUUUUAACAUAUUUUGCUUCCCUAAAUACCAUAGUUUAGUUUUAAUUUGUGUUUAACUUUUAUACAAAGAGAAUCAAGUAGUAUAUUUUUUGAACCUUGUGAAGACAGUAUGUUAUUUUAAACUUUUAUGUAAUGGAUAGCAAAGAGUGUGUUUUAUUUUGUGUCUGGAUUCUUUUGCUCAAUAUUAUGUCUGUAAGGUAUAUGCAUUCUAUAUAAUUCACUCAUUUAUAUUGUCAUGUAGUAUUCUGUUGCAUGAAAAUACCACAGUUUACCCAUUUUACUAUUUAUGGACUUUCUGGGUGUGUUUCCAGUUUGGGGCUAUUACAACUAAUGCUGAUGUGAAUACUCACCUAUGUGUCUCUUGGUGUAUGUGGGUGUACGUUUCUGGUGGAUAUCUGUCUACCUAGUGGUAGUAUUACAAGCUCAUAGAGUAAGCAUAUCUUUAGAUUUAAUGGAUAAAACCAAAGUAUUUUCCAAAAUGAAUGAACAAUUUACCUUCUUAGCAAUGUCUGAAAGUUUCUCUCACUUCACAUCCUACCAGUCUCUUCCAUUUUAGCCUUCUGGUGACUAGGUAGCUGAGCUGUCAUCCCUGCCUAUGCCUGUUUACUCAGGCAUGUCUUCCUGGUGAAUAACUAUAGUGCAAUGCAAAGAUGCUUCACUAGAGUCCCAUCCCUUUAGCCUCUCAGCUGCUGCUUCCAGAAACAGCAAAUACCUUCAUGGGAAAAUUGACUCCAAAUACUGUGCUCACUUCUCUAGACCUAUUUUUCUUUCCCAAACCUUGGCCUGGUAAUUCUUCAGUACCUUUUAGUUCUUUGAGGCUUUUAAGCCGAUAUAUUUUUUAAUUUGUUAAGUCUUCUAAUUUUGUUCCUUUCCAUUGAUAAUAAUGAUACAUGUAUCAAAUUUUAUUAUAUGCACAGGUCUUUCUCUGGUCUACUUGGUUGAUCUACUUACUCCUAUACCAGUAUAAAAGUUAUCAAAUCAAUAGUUAUAAUACUCUUAAUAUCUAGUAGAUAAAAUCUGUCUGUCUACAUUGUUCUUUGGAGCUUUCAUGGUUAUUGUUGGUCCUUUACUCUUUUAUUUGAAUUUUAAGAUCAGCCCAUCAAAUAAGUACUUCACAGGUACUUCAGAUUGUGAGUUCACAUUUUGAGGUGCAAAAUUCUAUAUUAUGUCUAUUAUAACAAAGUAAUUGAAUUAUUUAAAUUUUAAUUUCUUGUCUGCAUGAUCAAUUAACUCACAGUAACUGUCAUACUGAUGGUUAUUUUUUAUUGUUUUUAAUAAUGUUUUUAUUGGCAUAUACAUGUAUAGAAAAGUAUAUAGAUUAUAAGUAUUCAGCUUGAUGGAUUGUCACAAAGUGAACACAUCCAUGUAGUCACCAUCCAUCACAAGAAAUAGAUAUUAUCAGCAGCUCCCUGUGAUGGUUCACAGGGAGUACAUAUGUUCAACGAUGGGAGAUAUUGCCUGUAUUAGCUUCGUAAGGCUCUUUAAACAAAGCACCACAAACUCAGUGGGUUACAACAGAAACUUAUUCUUCCCAUUAUGGAGGUUAGAAGACUGAAAUCAAGGUGUUGGCAGGGCUAAAAUUUCUCCUGAGGCUCCAGGGGAGAAUCUCUUCUUUUCUCUUCCAGCUUCUGGUGACUGAUGGCAUUCCUGUGGCUGCAUAACUCUUAUCUCUGACUCUGUCUUCACCUGGCCUUCUCCUCUGUAUUCAUCUUCUCCUCUUCUGUAUCUUCUAAGGACUUGUCCUACAAGUGUGGUUGGGAUUUAAGGCCCACCAACAUAAUCCAAACUGAUUUCAUCUCAAGAUCCUUGUUGCAAAGACCCUCUGACAAAUAAGAUUGCAUUCACAAGUUCUAGGGUUAGGACAUAAAGAUAACUUUCUGAGAGUCACUAUUCAGCCCAUUGACACUGCCAAACAGUUUAAACAUUGGAAGAAUUGGUACUCCCACCAAUAGUGUGUGUGUUCUUGUUGAUCCAUACCUUAGACAACGUAGAUCAGCUUUUUUUCAGACAUUCAGUUGGGUGUACAAUAGCAUAUCAUUGUGGCAUGAAUUUAUCUUUCCCUAAUUAAAAUCACGUUGAGUACUUUGCCAUGAAAAUCUUUUUGAAGUCUUUAUUUAAUUCUAUGUUGGUUUUUUUAAAAUAUUCUGCACUUUUUAUUAUUAAUAUAGAGGAAUUCUUUAUAAAUUAGUGAUGCACAUCCUUUGUAAGUGCGCUGUUUGCAAAUUACUUCUGCUCUUUCAUGACUUUCACUACAUUGAAUUUAUCAGUCUUUUAAAGUUUGUCUUUUAUCAUGUCCUCCUUAAGGAAUCUUGCCCUUCAGUUAGUGUACAACAUUUAUAUUUUAUUGUAACAAAUUUUUUGGUUUUGAAUUAUCUGUAUAGUUUCAUGUUUUAUAAAUUCUGUCAAUUCUGAAUACACUGAAAAAAUAAUAUUAAUACCAACAUUUUAGCAUUAUGAACAUUUGUACCUAGCUACUGACACAAAAUUUUUUGUCAAUACUGAAAUCACUUGGGUAGGAAUUACCCAUUUAUAUAAUUUGGGAACUUUGGGGAAAAUUGAAAUAUAGUAAACUUUUAUUUUAAUAUAUACAUUAAUCCUAAAUAGAAUAAAAUAAAAAUAUAUGCAAAGUAUGAAUUGUAUACACUGUGUGAUAUAUAUCUAUCAAAUUACCUUACCAGUCUUCCAUCAUAAAAGUAUUUUGUGUAGCUUGAUUGGCUCAUCAAAGUAUACCAAAAUGGAUCUCUGUCAGGGAAAAAAAAGAAAAGAAAAACCGUCUUCUCACUUUUUUGUAGAAAAAAUAGAUAAAGCCCUCUGAAAAACAAAAUGUGCAUUUGUUUUACCCUCAAUGACUAACUUAUUUUCAAAUCUCCCAUUGUAAUUGUAAACUUGUGUAUUUCUUCUAAUUCCAUACAUCUACUCUGUUUUAAGAUUUCAUUAUUAUGUGUGUUAUUAGUUUGAAAUUUUUAUGUAUUUCUGAUAAUUCCUUUGUCAUCAAGAAUUUUUUUUUUUUUAAGAGACAGGAUCUUGCUGUGUUGCCCAUGUUGUCCUUAAACUCCUGGGCUCCAGUGAUCCUCUCACCUCAGCCUCCAAGUAGCUAAGAGCUGGGACUACAGCCAUGAGCCACCAUACCCAGCUCAAAAAUAAUUCUUCCCCCGCCCCCUGAGAAGGAGUUUCAUUCUUGUUUACCCAGGCUGAGUGCAAUGGUGUGAUCUCGGCUCACCGCAACCUCCGCCUCCGGGGUUCAGGCAAUUCUCCUGCCUCAGCCUCCUAAGUAGCUGGGAUUACAGGCACGCGUCACCAUGCCCAGCUAAUUUUUUGUAUUUUUAGUAGAGACAGGGUUUCACCAUGUUGACCAGGAUGGUCUCGAUCUGUUGACCUCGUGAUCUACCCGCCUUGGCCUCCCAAUAAUUCUUUUUUAAAGUCAGAAGUGCUCUGUGCUAAAAUAAUGCAGUUAUACAGGAAGCAUACUAGAAGUGCUAGAAUCCUGCCUCUCAGCCCUAGGUUAGAAGACAGAACAGGAUCCUUGUUUUCCUAAGCAGAGAGGACUCAGCGGUGAGAAGGCAGGAUGUGGAUGUUCAAUUGUUCCAGAGCCAUUCGAUAAAAAGAUUUUUUAUCUCUUUGUACCUUUGUCAAAGAUCAGUUGACUAUAAAUCUGUGGGUCUGUUUCGGGCUCUCUCUUCUUUGUGCUCCACUCAUCUAUUUGUUGUUAUUUCACCAGUACCAUGCUGUCUUGAUUACUGUAGCUUUGCAAUAAGCCUUUAUGUCAGGUUAUGUGAGUCCUCUGAUUCGUUCUCCUUCAAUAUUGUGUUGGUUAUUCUGAAUCUUUUUGCCUCUUCAUGUACCCUUCAGAAUCAGUUAGGCAGUAUCUGCUAAAUAACUGUUGUGAUUUGUAUUGGGAUUGCAUUGAAUGGGUAGAUGAUGCUGGAAGAAUUGCCAUCUUGACAAUAUUGAGGCUUCUUAUCUAUGAACACAGACUAGCUCUUCACUUAAUUUCUCUUUAAUGUCUUUCAUCAGAGUUUUAUUGUUUUCUUCAUAUAGUUCUUAUAUAUUUUUUUAGAUUUAUACCUAAGCAUUUUACUUUUCGGGGUGCUAAUGUAAGUGGUGUUAUAUUUUUAAUUUCAAAUUUUACUUGUUUAUUUCUGAUAUAUAGGAAGGCAGUUGACUUUUGUAUAGUAUCUUACAAUCUGGCUAUAGUCAGUUAAUAUUUCCAUGAGUUUUUAAGUUAGUUUUUUUUUUUUUUCAGAUGAGAACAGAGACAGUUUUCUUCCUUCCCAAUUUGUGUACCUUUUAUUUCCUUUUUUUAUUUUAUUACCUUUCUAAGACUUUCAGUUCAGUGCUGAAAAGGAGUGUUAAGAGGAGACAUCUUCACCUUGUUCCUGAUCUUAGAGAAGCUUCUAGUUUCUCACCAUUAAAUAUGAUAUUAGCUGUAGGUUUUUUAGUAGAUAUUCUUUAUUAAGUUGAACAAGUACCCUUCUAUUCCUAAUUUCCUGCAAGUUUUUAUCAGGAAUCAGUGUUGGAUUUUGUCAAAUAUUUCUUCUGCAUCUGUUGGUAUGACCAUAUGAUUUUUUUCUUAGCCUAUUGAUCUGUGGAUUACAUUAAUUGAUUUCCAAAUGUUGUACCUGCCUUGCAUACCUAGGAUAAACUCCCUUAGCUAUGGUGUGUAAUUAUUUUUAUAUGUUGUUAGAUGUGAUUUGCUAAUAUUUUGUUGGGAAUUUUAUAUCUGUGUCAUCAGAGUUACUGGUCUGUAGCUUUCUUGGAACGACGGUCUGGUUUUGGUAUUACGUUAAUGCUGGCCUCAAAGAAUGAGUUAGGAGGUAUUCCCUCUGCUUCUAUAUUCUGAAAUAAAUUAUAGACAGUUACUAAGAUUUCUUUUUUAAAUCUUUGGUAGAAAUCACAGAAACCCCCAUGUCCAUAACCAGUUGAUUUUUGACAAAGUUCCAAGAGCAUACAUUGGGGAAAGGACAGUCUUUUCAGUAAAUGGUGUUGGGAAAACUAGAUAUCCACAUGCAAAAGAAUGAAACUAGACCCCCAUGUCCCACCCUUUACAAAAAUCAAUGCAAAAUGAAUCUAAGACCUAAAUCAAAAAGACAGAACUACUAGGGGGAAACAUCAGGACACAGGUCUGGGAAAAGAUUUUUUGAAUAAGACUUCAAAGAAAUGCUGUAAUGGUAAGAGUUUAGAGCAUUCCUGAGGACCUGGAGAAAACUUGUUGCUGAGAAGGACAUUUUGAAGGAUUCGUUGGUUGAAAAAUGUGUCUGGAAUCACAUUCCUAAAUCUUUCUUGAAGACUUGAAAAGAAUUAGAUUAGGGCCAUGGGGACACAGAGGUUACCCCUGCUCUGAUCUUUGCCAACACAGUUGCUACAAUUGGCUUUCCAAUUUGGCUACAACACUGGGGUCAUCAAUGCUCCUGAGAUGAUCAUAAAGGAAUUUAUCAAUAGCACUUUGAGGGACAAGGCAAAUACCUCUCCCUCUGAGAUGUUGCCCAUGUCUCUCUGGUCCUUGUCUGUGGCCAUCUCCGUUUGUGGUAUGAUUGGCUCCUUUUACGUCGGAUUCUUUGUCAUCCACUUUGGCAGGUGCAAUUCAGUGCUUAUCAUCAGCCUGUUGGCUGUCACUGGUGGCUGCCUCAUGGGAUCGUGUAAAGUAGCUGAGUUGCUUGAAAUGCUCAUCCUGGGCCGCUUAGUUAUUGACCUCUUCUGCAGACUAUGCACAGGUUUUGUGCCCAUGUACAUGUGGAGAGAUCUCACCUACUGCCCUGCAGGGUGCCUUUGGUACUCUAAACCAGCUGAACAUUGUUGGAAUUCUGGUGGCCCAGGUCUUUGGUCUGGAAUUUCUGGAAUUCAUCCUUGGGUCUGAAGAGCUGCGGCCAGUGCUGUUGGGCUUUACCAUCCUUACUGCUAUCCUACAAAGUGCAGCCCUUCCAUUUUGCCCUGAAAGUCCCAGAUUUUUGCUCAUUAACAGAAAAGAAGAGGAUGCUUAGUAGAUCCUCCAGUGGUUGUCGGGCACCCAAGAUGUAUCCCAAGACAUCCAGGAGAUGAGCGAUGAGAAUGCAAGAAUGCCACAAGAAAAGCAAGUCACCGUGCUGGAGCACUUUAGAGUAUCCAGCUGCCGACAGCCCAUCAUCAUUUCCAUUGUGCUCCAGCUCUCUCAGCAGCUCUCUGGAAUCAAUGCUGUGUUCUGUUACUCAACAGGAAUCUUCAAGGAUGCAGGUGUUCAAGAACCCAUCUAUGCCACCAUCGGUGAAGGUGUGGCUAAUACUGUCUUCACUGUCGUUUUCCUGUUUCUGGUGGAAAGGGCAGGAAGAAGGACUCUGCAUAUGAUAGACCUUGGAGGGAUGGCUUUUUGUCCCAUACACACGACUGUUUUUUUUAGUUAUUAAAGGAUGACUGUAAUGGGAUGAGCUUUGUCUGUAUUAGGGCUAUCUUUGUCUUUAUUCCCUGGUUUAUUGUGGUUGAACUCUUCAGUCAGGGCCACUGCCCAGCUGUGAUGGCAGUUGUCGGCUGCUCCAAGUGGACCUCCAACUUCCUAGUUGGAUUGCUUCUUCCCUCUGCUGCUUGCUAUUUAGGACCCCAUGUUUUUAUUAUCUUCACUGGCCUUCUCAUUACCUUUUUGACUUUUACCUUCUUCAGAGUCCCUGAGACCCGCAGGACAUUUGAGGAUAUCAUGCAGGCCUUUGAAGGGCAGGCACAUGGUGCAGAUAGAUCCGGGAACGACGGCAUCAUGGAGAUAAACAGCCUCCAGCCUGCUAAGGAGACCACCACCAGUGUCUCACUCAUGCCUCCUUCCACCUCCCUCGAAUCAUGGGAAAGCCACUGGUCUCUGAAUGAUGAAAAACCUCAUCAGGAUGAGCCCAGGACUGCUUCUGAAUGCUGCUACUUGAUUCCUGUCUUAUCCCAUGCACUCCUUAAGCACCCCAAGGCUGGGGUUUUUUAGGUUUUCAAUGGCUUUUAAAAUAUUUUAUUCCCUGGACAUUAUCUUCUGCUUAGGAGAGACCAAGUGAACCUACCUUCAUUUCAGGAGGGAUUGGCCUCUUGGCAUAUGACAACUUCGCCAGCUUUGGGUUCUAAUAUUUCUGUACUAGGGGAUAUAGCAGAGGAAAAGUAAGGUGCAGUUCUCCCAACCUCAGACUUAUCAGGAAGCAGAUACACCUAUGAAUGUGGAAGGCAGAGGGAGUUUAAGACCACCUUCCUCACUUCUAUACAGCUCCACACAGCAAAUUAACUUGAGUUUUAUUUAUUUUAUCUUAUGGUUUCAUUACAUAUAUAUAUUUGAGUUCUGGCAUACAUAUGCAGAAUGUCACGUUUGUUACAUAGGUAUACAUGUGCCAUGGUGGAAAUAUUUAUUUUUUUAAGUGUAAUUUUGCCAAAUAAUAAGAACAGAAGGAAAUUGAGAUUAGAAGGAGCUGCUUAAAGAGAGGUUGAAGAGUAAAAGAUUUGAUGCUGGAGAGGUUAAGGUGCAAUAAGAAGAAUUUAGGGAGAAAUGUAGUUCAUUAUUGAAGGGUAAAUGAUGUGGUGCCUGAGGUCUGCACGUUACCUCUUAACAAUUUCUGUCUUUCAGAUGGAAACUCUUAAGUUUAAUUUCUCAUAAAGGCCAUAUGCCUAUAUAAUUAAGCUACCGAUUUCCUUUGGAACUUUUUUCUUUAAGAUAAUAGUUUACAUGUAAUACUUGAAAUCUGGGAUUAUUAACUAAUAUGGGCAUUGUAGUUAAUGGUGGUUGAUAGGUUCUAACUUUGGAUGGAGUCAAGGGAAGGGAAAGUUAUUUCUAGAAAGCCUGUUCCCCCUCACCGGACCAAACAACUCCUCCUUGUAAUAGACUCAUUACCUUUGAAGUAAUCCCACCACCUAUGUGGUGGGAGAGCCACCCAAAUGAAAACCCUAAAAUAAUUGGUUCUUGGUAGAGAUUCCUUUUUGUUCUAGGAGAUUUUAGUUGUUGAUUUGCUGUUUUAAUGCAUACCUUUCAAGGAAUUUCCCAAAUGUUUAUAGCUGACUUGGAAUUUGUAACCUCAGCUCUCGGAGAGGAUUUUUUUCUGAACGAUCAUUGUCUAAAGUGUGUUGUUGCUUUAGGGUCACAGCAUGCUUGUGUAUGUCUGUUACCAUGUCACUGUGGUCUUACACCAAGUGCCCUUAGGGGACUUGAAUCUUUCCAAUAGACCAUGUUUGAGAUAGU